rnacentral:rRNA from 1 species
GACGAACGCUGGCGGCGUGCCUAAUACAUGCAAGUCGAGCGAAGUUUUUCUGGUGCUUGCCCUAGAAAAACUUAGCGGCGAACGGGUGAGUAACACGUAAAGAACCUGCCUCAUAGACUGGGACAACUAUUGGAAACGAUAGCUAAUACCGGAUAACAGUAUUUCUCGCAUGAGAGAUAUUUAAAAGUUGGUUAUGCUAACACUAUGAGAUGGCUUUGCGGUGCAUUAGCUAGUUGGUGGGGUAAAGGCCCACCAAGGCGACGAUACAUAGCCGACCUGAGAGGGUGAUCGGCCACACUGGGACUGAGACACGGCCCAGACUCCUACGGGAGGCAGCAGUAGGGAAUCUUCCGCAAUGGGCGAAAGCCUGACGGAGCAACGCCGCGUGAGUGAAGAAGGAUUUCGGUUCGUAAAGCUCUGUUGUUAGGGAAGAAUGGAUAUGUAGUAACUAUACAUGUAAGAGACGGUACCUAACCAGAAAGCCACGGCUAACUACGU